AAUAAUGUUGUAACCCUCCGGUGUUUUCUUCUCCAAGAUUGAUGUGGUACUGAAAGAAAUUGAAGUAAUUAAAAUUUCAUUUUGUGUACUCGUUUACAGAACUUUAAACUUAACUUCGUUUACAGAAUCGGCUGAAGAUGUAGCGUGAGAUGGCUUGUGCGUGCAGCUCGCAAUUAGAGUGAUAUGCAAGAAAAGAUAAUUCGAGAUUGAAAGAUAAUGACCGUGAAGAUGAACAGUAUUCCCUCAUCUUCAAACUUCACUGGCUUGAAUGCGGUCAUGGUUGGCUUCUUUUAAGAAUUAGUCUUGCGAUCUUGAAGCACUGAAGAAAACUGAAAUAUGCGAGGCACGGAAGAAAAAUGAAGUAUAGCAACAAAAAAUUACUUCCUAAUGAUCGCGUCCACGGCUUGAACAGCACUGACAAUCCAUAGACAUUUGAGUAGAUACAAACCAACUCGUAAAAUGGCGUAGAACGGAUCAUCACCGUAUAAUCACACGUAGCGUGACGAGCGACUACUUAUUAAAUUAGCAAUUGGUACGUAAAGGAAUGAAGGCACCGUUAUAUUUAAUUAGAAACUGUACGUUGUCCUAAUUAACUAAUGAUGCAAAUAGUAA